AUACAUGCAAGUAGAACGCUGAAGAGAGGAGCUUGCUCUUCUUGGAUGAGUUGCGAACGGGUGAGUAACGCGUAGGUAACCUGCCUGGUAGUGGGGGAUAACUAUUGGAAACGAUAGCUAAUACCGCAUAAUAGCAGUUAUUGCAUGAUAACUGUUUGAAAGGUGCAAAUGCAUCACUACCAGAUGGACCUGCGUUGUAUUAGCUAGUUGGUGGGGUAACGGCUCACCAAGGCGACGAUACAUAGCCGACCUGAGAGGGUGAUCGGCCACACUGGGACUGAGACACGGCCCAGACUCCUACGGGAGGCAGCAGUAGGGAAUCUUCGGCAAUGGACGGAAGUCUGACCGAGCAACGCCGCGUGAGUGAAGAAGGUUUUCGGAUCGUAAAGCUCUGUUGUAAGAGAAGAACGAGUGUGAGAGUGGAAAGUUCACACUGUGACGGUAUCUUACCAGAAAGGGACGGCUAACUACGUGCCAGCAGCCGCGGU
rnacentral:rRNA from 1 species